rnacentral:rRNA from 1 species
UAAUUCCAGCUCCAAUAGCGUAUAUUAAACUUGUUGCAGUUAAAAWDCUCGUAGUUGAACCUUGGAGCCUCAAAGGCUGUCCGGUCCACCUCUCCGCGAGUACUGGUCCGCARGCCGGGCCUUAAAGAAAUCCUUCUGGCGGAAGCUCAUGCCCUUCACUGGGCGUGUUGGGGAACCAGCGACUUUUACUUUGAAAAAAUUAGAGUGUUCAAAGUCAGGCCUUUGCUCGAGAUACAUUAGCAUGGAAUGACAGAAUAGGACGUGUGGUUCUUGAUUUUGUUGGUGGUUCUAGGACCGCCGUAAUGAUUAAUAGGGAUAGUUGGGGGCAUCAGUGAUUCAAUCGUCUGCGGUUAAAUUCUUGCGAUUGAAUGAACGAGACCUUAACUACUGCUAAAUAGCCAGGCCCGCUUUGGCAAGGGUCGCCGGCUUCAUUAGAGGGACUAUCAGCUCAAGCCGAUGGAAGUUUGAGGCAAUCGAACAGGAUCUGUGAUACCCUCGUAGAUGUUCUGGGCCGUACGCGCGCUACACUGACUAGAGAUCCAACGGUGUUAGUUCAUUUCCUUAGCCGAAAGGUACCUUACGGGUAAUCUUGUUAAACUCUGUCGGUGCUGGGGGUAGAGCAUGUCGCAAUUAUUGCUGAACUUCAACGAGGAAUUGACCUAGUAAGCGCAUAGUCAUGAGCAUGCGCUGAUUACGUCCCUGCCYUUUGUACACACCGCCCGUCAAUCA